CCUACGGGAGGCAGCAGUGGGGAAUAUUGGACAAUGGGCGAAAGCCUGAUCCAGCAAUACCGCGUGUGUGAAGAAGGCCUUAGGGUUGUAAAGCACUUUCAAUAGGGAGGAAAAAGGUAAGCUUAAUACGCUUGCCCUUGACAUUACCUAUACAAGAAGCACCGGCUAACUCCGUGCCAGCAGCCGCGGUAAUACGGAGGGUGCAAGCGUUAAUCGGAAUUACUGGGCGUAAAGCGUGCGUAGGCGGCUUGUUAAGUCAGAUGUGAAAGCCCCGGGCUUAACCUGAGAACUGCAUUUGAAACUGGCAAGCUAGAGUUGAGUAGAGGGGAGUGGAAUUUCAGGUGUAGCGGUGAAAUGCGUAGAUAUCUGAAGGAACACCAGUGGCGAAGGCGACUCCCUGGACUCAAACUGACGCUGAGGCACGAAAGCGUGGGUAGCAAACAGGAUUAGAUACCCUGGUAGUCCACGCCGUAAACGAUGUUGACUAGCCGUUGGGGCCUUUUAGGGGUUUAGUGGCGCAGCUUACGCAUUUAAGUCGACCCGCCUGGGGAGUACGGCCGCAAGGUUAAGAUUCAAAGGAAUUGACGGGGGGCCCGCACAAGCGGUGGAGCAUGUUGUUUAAUUUCGACCAGACGCGAAAGAACCUUUACCUACCCCUUGACAUGUCCCGGACGACUUUCCAGAGAUGGAUUUCUCCCCAGCAAUGGGCCCGGAACACAGGUGCUGCAUGGCCUGUCGUCAGCUCGUGUCGUGAGAUGUUGGGGUUAAGUCCCGUAAACGAGCGCAACCCCUUGUCCUUAGUUGCCCAGCGCGUAAUGGCGGGGAACUCUAGGGGAGACUGCCGGUGAUAAACCCGGAGGGAAGGUGGGGGACGACGUCAAAGUCAUCAUGGCCCUUAUGGGUAGGGCUACACACGUGCUACAAUGGCCCGGUACAGAGGGCUGCGAACUUGCGAAAGUAUGCUAAUCCCAGAAAGCCGGUCCCAGUCCGGAUUGGAGUCUGCAACUCGACCCCAUGAAGUCGGAAUCGCUAGUAAUCGCGAAUCAGAAUGUCGCGGUGAAUACGUUCCCGGGCCUUGUACACACCGCCCGU
rnacentral:rRNA from 1 species